rnacentral:lncRNA from 1 species
CCAACCCAAGUAACCACAGCCCAUAACCCGUUUACGUUUACCGACCCGGACCCAGUGAACCAGACCCAUCAUUCUUAACCCGUUUGAAAUCAAAAUCAGGCCAAACCCUUAAUCCGUUAAUCGCCUCUCUCUCCAUACUCGUCUCUCGCCUGCGCUGCCUCUCAAAGUCGCUCCGCCCGUCUCCGCCCUUGCAUCGGUCACCUGUGGCCGGCAUCUCCUUUGUGUGGGCUUUAAUCUCCUUCCCUUAGCUCCCUGUAACUAAGUGUAAGCUCCGCCCUCGGUCCCUGCCGUCUAGAUUAGGCCGAAACUGAAGUCGGUGACCGCAAUUGAACCAUCGUCUGCCAGGCGCCACCGCACGGUUCGCACCAGCUGCCGCCUGUAAAGACUAAAGAAGGUAAUUAAUUUCGAAUUUAGAUGUUCUUCCAAAUUCCAACUGAACUACAGUGCCGUGAGCCGUCUGCCGGUGCAAGUCUGCUGCCUAAUUUUUCAUUUCUUCGAUUUUGCAGAUUCUCAUUGAUUCAGUCAUUCUCAGUUUCUCACUUAGUCACUCUGUCAGUAACUUGGUAUGUGAAUUUAUGUUGUGAAAUUGGAUUGAUAUUUGAUAGUGUGAAAUUGUGAAAUAGUAUAAAUUUUGAAAUAGUAUAAAUUGUGAAAUUGCCAUCACAAUGAAAUAGUACUUGUUCACUUGUUAAGUGUGUUUAGCUCUGAAUAAUGUUUCAUUUGAGAAGAGUGACACUAGUAGGAGAACAUUGAACCAGGGAGUGGAGAAUUGGUGGGAUGAAUUGAUUACCUUCGUUAGGAAUUUGAUUGAUCGAUGUUUCCAUAGGGACGUGUUUCAUUUAACUGUAGUACUGUUCACACUCGAGUGCCUUCAACUGUUUAAGAAAUUUCUCCAUGAAUUAUACAAGUCGGAGUUUGAAGAAGUGGAAGAGAAAGAUCCCUUCAGCCCCAAGAUACCCAUUAAGAAACAAGAUGAGUACAUAGUUGGUGCUUUUUCUUACUUUAAAUGUAUAGUUGGGUACAAGAUGAGUACAUAGCAUAUUUAUGGCUUGUUUAGUUGGGUUUGCUUCUGCCAUCACAAUGAAAUAGUAUAAAUUUUGAAAUUGUGAAAUAGUAUAAAUUGUGAAAUUGCAUUGUGAAUUUGCGAUUUGGAAGGUGAAUUGAUAUUGUGAAAUUGGAUUGAUAAUGUGAAAUUGUGAAUUGGAUUGUGAAAUGUGAAUUGCACUUGCGAAUUGAAAUUGUGAAAUUGUG